UCCUCGUCCUUGAUGCACCUAACUUGGUCAAGAUCCCGCGCCUUCCUUUCCCUUGCUUUAUCUAACCGGAAUAACUUCUUGUCCCCGCCUUUCUCCCAUAAUUCCUUGUACAUGCGAUCAAACGCCGCAUUUUUAGCUUCCGUGACCGCCAGCUUUGCUUCUUUCCUCGCCACCUUAUAAAUUUCCAUGUUCGCUCUCCGCUCUUCCUCGCUUGUGCUCCCUGCCAACUUAGCAAACGCCUCCUUCUUCACCUCCACUUUUCCUUCGACUACAUCAUUCCACCACC
rnacentral:lncRNA from 1 species